rnacentral:rRNA from 1 species
UUCAGGAAAUGGGGCUACUACCGGAUAGGAGCUCCUGCUGCAUGGUGGGGGUUGGAAAGUAUCGACGGUUGGGGAUGGACUCGCGGGUUAUCAGCUUGUUGGUGGGGUAGUGGCUUACCAAGGCUUUGACGGCUAGCCGGUCUGAGAGGGUGACCCGUCACAUUGGCCACUGACCAUACGGGCCAGACUCCUACGGCAGGCAGCAGUGGGGAAUAUCGCACAAUGGGCGGAAGCCUGAUGCAGCAACGCCGCGUGAGGGAUGACGGC